UCGAGAAUUUUUCACAAUGGGCGCAAGCCUGAUGGAGCGACGCCGCGUGGGGGAUGAAGGGUUUCGAUCCGUAAACCCCUGUCAUUUGCGAACAAACCUUAUUCAAUAACACUGGAUGAGCUGAUUGUAGUGAAAGAGGAAGGGACGGCUAACUCUGUGCCAGCAGCCGCGGUAAUACAGAGGUCCCAAGCGUUGUUCGGAUUCACUGGGCGUAAAGGGUGCGUAGGUGGCCAGGUAAGUUCGGUGUGAAAGCUCGGAGCUCAACUCCGAAAAGUCAUUGAAUACUAUCUGGCUGGAGGGUCGGAGGGGAGACUGGAAUUCUCGGUGUAGCAGUGAAAUGCGUAGAUAUCGAGAGGAACACCAGUGGCGAAGGCGAGUCUCUGGACGACACCUGACACUGAGGCACGAAAGCCAGGGGAGCAAACAGGAUUAGAUACCCCCGUAGUCC
rnacentral:rRNA from 1 species